ACUCAGCUAGCAUCUUGCUUAAGUGGGAGGUGCCUCUCCCCGGAGGAGCGCAGCCUGCUGGCUUGGGGCCUCAUGCUCCUGGACUCACCUGGUGCUGAGGACGAGUGCAGGCAGCAGGGGCAGCAGGUAGUGUGCAGCGUUGAAUUUCAUGUCGCCGCCAGCUCGGGUACUCCUUCGCUGGACUCUGCUCUUUUGCUUCCUCCGGUCAGUUGCUGUUCAGUGUCCUGCUCUCUUUCCCCGAAGCCCGGAGCCCUCUCCUGAGACCCACAAAGACACGGAUAGAGGCUUUGUAAAGACAAGGACCAGAGUGCGAGUAUCUUCAGGAGUGAUGUCACCCCGGAGCCCUGCCGGGAUGGUCCAGCGCGCCGUGUUCAAGGCGCACAGGGCGGGUGUAGCCGCUGGAGGAGGAAAGGACCCGCGUCCAGGUCGCUGCCCUAGUAGGCAGCUGUACUUGGUCACUCCCGUGCGCACUGGAGCGGAUCUCCUCUUCCCCGCUCCUACUGAAGACAGGAGGGGAGGGCGGUGGCAAGGACCAACCUCUUUCUCCAGUAAUUGAGCUGGCGUGCUCCGCAGGGUGAGAGACAAUUCGCUGGGAAGGACUCCAGACUCUUUAGGGUCCAGAGCAGGCGUCUCUCACCAGCUUGCUUUUUGUUGCUUGGAGAGUAAGCUUAAAAUACUGCUCUGAUUAGAGGCAUAAUGGCUUGCUUGCUGCAGAUAGAGUGGAGCAGCAGCCCAUGCAGACCAGAAGCCCGAUACCCAGAUGAGUUAGUGGUCUCUAGCGUAGAAAGGGACCAGAACCAACACAAAGUCCGCGGCUCUGGGUUCUGGUGCGUCUGGAUCUUCCUCUCUUUUGGCCUUUGCGUCUGUCAGCUACUCAAGUGUGUGCAGCUGGCAGCCAGAGUUCAUACACCUUCAAGGGUCGUUUUCCUGAGGGGGGAAAAAUCUUAAGCAAGAGCGCAGAGACAUUGGUCAUUAAUUAAAUGGUAGGAGUAUUCUCUGUAGUUUCUAAAUGUUGUAUAUCAAGUAACCAAUGUUUAACAAGCCCUUUUGUAGGAAUUCUAAUCAGAAAAGGGAAAUACUACAACUUUAACGAAAUCUACCAUUUUGCAAAAUCUCAAAAUUCAAGAAGAGAGGCUGACCACCUACAGAGAUCAGAGAUCUGAAACUCUGGGAUCUUUACACCAUGCUGUAUGUGUGUGAGUGUGUGUCUGUGUCUCUCUGUGUGUGUGUUAAAAGAAAGUGUGUAUGACAGUUCUCUCAAGAAUCACUGUACUAAACUAAACAUUACAGUUUUCCUACCACAUAUGUGAUGAAAGCAAGGAUCAACAUUAUCUGGACUGGACUUUUCUUUAGUUGUCCCCAGUCCUAAGGCAACCUUGCUGCUGCAAUGAACUUCACACUUGAAGUGGGUCUACACUAAAGAAUCAAGCACAUGGAAGACCUAGAGGGAAGACCUAGGGUCAGCAGGUGCCAUCCCAACUGUUUAGUUGAUGGUCUCUGUUCUGCCCAGGCAAUUCAUAUAAGUAACAUUUUAAAUAAGAAUCAGAGAUAAACUCAGAAUUGAAGACAUAUUUGUAGAUAUAUAAAACGAUGUAUUUGUUACCAGACUCUAAAGGGGGGGGGGCAGGGCAUUAACCUUCUAAUUACUGUUUUGUUCCAGUUUGUUCCAGUUUUCUUCUUGAUGAAGUUUAAUUUAAGGACACACCUACUGAAGAACUUUACUGUAAGAAUCUCAAGCAAUCAGAAUAGGAGUAUUAAUGUUUUCAAGGAUAUCAAUCCUUUUUGCAGUAGUAAAAUCCACAACAGACACAAACCAGCUCCUUUCUCCACUGUUUGUCUUUUGGAAGG
rnacentral:lncRNA from 1 species